rnacentral:tRNA from 1 species
GCCUUCGUAGUGUAACUGAAAGCACACUCGACUCGUAUUUGAGAGAUCCAGGGUUCGAGUCCCGGCGAGGACA